rnacentral:rRNA from 1 species
UACAGAGGUCCCGAGCGUUGUUCGGAUUCACUGGGCGUAAAGGGUGCGUAGGUGGCCUGAAAAGUUUGAUGUGAAAGCUCAGGGCUUAACCCUGAAAUGGCAUUGAAUACUGUCGGGCUGGAGGUUUGGAGGGGGGACUGGAAUUUACGGUGUAGCGGUGAAAUGCGUAGAUAUCGUAAGGAAGACCAGUGGCGAAGGCGGGUCUCUGGACAGUUCCUGACGCUGAGGCACGAAGGUCAGGGGAGCAAACGGG